rnacentral:tRNA from 2 species
GUUUUUAUAGUUGAAUUAACAACGGCGAUUUUUCAGAUCUUUAGUUCUGGUUAAAGUCCAGAUAAGAAUA